GGAAAUGGGGAUUCCUACCUGAUCCGAGGUCACCUUUAAAAAAUUGGGGGGUUUAGCGGCUGGAGCACGCCGGGACGAUCCGAACGAGGUUCGCGUUUUACCGCGUUUUACUGCGCUCAGUGUACCGACGAGCCCGCCGAUGAACUUGGGGGCCCCGGGCCCCCCAAUGUCCGGGACGCCCCAACCCAAGCGGAGGCCCGAGGGAUGAAUGCUUCCCCCACCCCCCCCCCCCCCGGCCCCCCGGCCGGCGCAAACUCCCCCCCGAACGCCAACCCCAUCCGCCUACCGACAAACCCCCACUUCCCGGGCGUCCCACCAACUCCCGACACUGCACCACCCUCCCUUCCACCGCCUCACAAUCCCGGCAUCCCCCCCCCGGCCCCCACCUCCCACACCCCGCCCCCCGCGCCCCCACCACGCGCCCCCGCCAGCCGACACAAAACCAACUCCCCCCGAGCCUCGGGCUGGCCUCUCCCCCCCGCCCCGGCUCCCCAACGCCGGGGCAAGGAUCAUUACUGAGUUGAAAAACUCCAACCCUGUGAACAUAACCUCUGUCGUUGCUUCGGCGGGCACGCCCGCCGGAGGUUCAAAACUCUUAUUUUUUCCAGUAUCUCUGAGCCUGAAAGACAAAUAAUCAAAACUUUCAACAACGGAUCUCUUGGUUCUGGCAUCGAUGAAGAACGCAGCGAAAUGCGAUAAGUAAUGUGAAUUGCAGAAUUCAGUGAAUCAUCGAAUCUUUGAACGCACAUUGCGCCCGCCGGUAUUCCGGCGGGCAUGCCUGUUCGAGCGUCAUUUCAACCCUCAAGCCUCGGCUUGGUGUUGGGGCCCCCCACCUCCCCCCUCCCUCUCCCCUGCCGGGCGUCAGCCUCAUCACCCCGCCCCCCCCCCCCGACCCCUUGGCGGACGCGGCACUUCCCGCACCCGCUCCACGCUGCUGACGCCCGACACCCCCCUCGCGAGCGUUUCACCUGCGGCUCGCGAACCGAUCCCCUCCCCCAACGACCCUCCUAUCAUACCCCUACCCAAAAAAAAAACAACCACUGAAACAUCAAAAAAACCCCACACCCAA
rnacentral:misc_RNA from 1 species